AAAGUAGCUUAUGCGACAGCCAUGGAUUGGUUUAUUGCCGUUUGCUACGCUUUU
rnacentral:ncRNA from 1 species